UAGGGAAUCUUCGGCAAUGGACGAAAGUCUGACCGAGCAACGCCGCGUGAGUGAAGAAGGUUUUCGGAUCGUAAAACUCUGUUGUUAGACAAGAACAAGGACGUUAGUAACUGAACGUCCCCUGACGGUAUCUAACCAGAAAGCCACGGCUAACUACGUGCCAGCAGCCGCGGUAAUACGUAGGUGGCAAGCGUUGUCCGUAUUUAUUGGGCGUAAAGCGAGCGCAGGCGGUUUCUUAAGUCUGAUGUGAAAGCCCCCGGCUCAACCGGGGAGGGUCAUUGGAAACUGGGAGACUUGAGUGCAGAAGAGGAGAGUGGAAUUCCAUGUGUAGCGGUGAAAUGCGUAGAUAUAUGGAGGAACACCAGUGGCGAAGGCGGCUCUCUGGUAUGUAACUGACGCUGAGGCUCGAAAGCGUGGGGAGCAAACAGG
rnacentral:rRNA from 1 species